CAUGGCAAGAAGUAAAUCUUCCUAUCUUACCUCAGGCUAAUUCAGCAUAAAGUAUAUGAGACAAGAAUUUACUGUUCAAUUUGCAGCUUGCUUAUUGAAGAGCAACAUAUUCAUUUCAGGAGCAAGCUCUAAUUUUAGAUCAGGAUUGAAGGUGCUAUGAAAACAAGAAUGCUGCAAUGAACAGUAGGACUUUUCAAGAUCAAUCCAAGUAUAGUUCUUGAACUACAGUACCCAAAAGAUAAAAGGAACCAUGGAAAAGGCUUUAUUGCAGUAAACUGUACCCAUUGCAGUGGUGAAAUCGGACAAUAGAAGCGAGGGACAACUGUUUUUCCAGGGAUCACAGGGUAUCAUAAUGAAAGGGCUUGAGGGUACCUCACAGGAAGGAAUUCCCAACUGUGCCUUUCUGGGUUCUCAAAGGAGUACUGCACUUGGGUAGUGCCAGCAUCUACCAAUCCAAGAGAAAUUGGUGCAUCCCACUAGGAAUGAAAUAAUGCUAUGUGGCCUCUUGGUCUUUAUCAGUGGGUUAGCGUGACGAGUUCCUCCUGGGUGCCACCUGGAACUGGGGUAUAAUUGAGCCCCCUGACCCACCAGUCUGGGGUCUCUUUCACGUUGUACUGCUGUGACAAGCUGCAAAGCCUUCCAGCCUACACUCUCAUCAGCAUUCCUACAGAUGGAGCCAGCAGCAACCAGGACUGUUUUCAGUAUCUAGGGGUGUUCCUUUCCAUUGAUGCAACACAGAACCAGCUUGAGCCCCGCCCAGUAACCUUGGAAAAUUACGCACCACCCAUGAGCGGACUUUAAUGGCUACACCAGAACCCGACCCUGAAACCUCACCACUCAUGAGGAAGACUGAUGAGCAUGAUGCCCUCUUUUUUUCUGCUCACCCUGGAAGAGGAAGGUAACUGUAGCUCAUGGGAGUUGCCAGCAGACAAGUUGAACAGAAAAGACGUUGCACAGGGAGAAGCUUUUCAAAGAUGGUGAUGGCUGUAUCAUAAGAACCAGCACCAUGACUGUGUGACUUGGACUUCAGAGAUAUAUGCUUCAAGCUCUGGGUGCUGACCUGUGUUUAGAAAGGUUAUUAAAUGCUGUUAUUGCCAUAGGUUAUGCUUCACGAUGUCUGAGCCUAACCCAGGAAAAUUUUGCACAAAGAGUGACCUUGGUAAAUGCUGUGCAAAGUACUCGAGCCCCUGACAGUGUUUUAAAGAAAAUGACCAAACUGGAGGAUACCGCUUAGCACGUUAUAUUGACCAUCUGGUCUGCACAAAAAAAGGUUACAGAAUCUUGCUUAGGAAAAAGACUACACCUCUACCUGGAUAUAAUGCUGUCCUCAGGAGCAAAAAAAAAUCUUACCGCAUUGCAGGUGAAACCAUGUUCUCGAACUUGCUUUGAUCUGCCGGAGUGCGCACCCCCCUCCCCCCGAGCACUGAUUUACCGCGUUAUAUUCGAAUUCGUGUUAUAUCAGGUCACGUUAUAUCUGGGUAAGAUACAAUUGCAAGAAAUUUAAAAGGAUUAUGUUAGAGAAUGGGGGAAACAAUCAUGUGAUAUAAAAGUUGGUAGCUAUAAAUAAAAAAUAUCUAUUGAAAAGGGCUUUGUGAUUAUCUAUGUUUCUGUUAGAAGGUCUGUGUGGCCCUUAAGAUAAAAGUUUUUGAUGAAGCAUCUUGGUUUGUUUUCAAGGGGCUGUAUGUCUUUUAAACAAAAAGUUUGUGCAAAUCCAGCUCUUGUGUCUUUGUGUAAAGAGACCUAGGCUAUGUCUACACUUGUCACUUAAAGUGCAAAAUGUCCCUUUUUUGUGCUAAAACCGCUGGAGCGUCUACACCUGUUAAUGACUUUUUGCAGUGAAACUCAGAAGUUUCACCACAAAAAGAAAACCUCCUUCAUGAGAGACACACAGUUCUUUCCGCUGAUCUUUUUGCACUGUUGUGAAAGUGAAGACACAUUCUACCAGUGUAAACACCUUUUGGCCUCCGGAGGAUAUCCCACAGUUCCAAAAGUGACCACUCUGGCCAGUAUCUCCACUGCUCUGACGCCAGGUAAACGGACAUCCUCCCCUCCCCCUGCAAGCCCUGGGAAGUUUGAAACUCCCUUUCCCUUUGCUUGUAGAUGUGGCUGGAAAAGCAGCCAGAUUGAAAGGGGGUUAAAAAAAUGCCACGAAAGAAACAAGGAAGCAGUGGGGCUGCUGGGACAUGAAGCAGGGCAGCAUGGGGCACUGAGCAAGGACCAGAAUGCCUUCCACUCACCCCCACCCCCUUCCCACAAGACCUAUCCAGAGAGAUGCACUGUGGGAUAGCUGCCCUCGAGCGCUGCUCUCAUGGACGAUGGAAGUGCUGGUAGUGUGAACACUGACGCCUGAGGAAUCACGUGAGUACACAAACCAGCGCUUUUCUUUCAUUGGUUCCCUGUCACUGGUGAAACUUACAGCACAGAAAUUCUGCAAGUGUAGACAUACCCCUACUUGCAGCAGAAAGCUGAAAUGUGUGUAGUCAAAUCCUGAGUGGGAUGGGGGUAUGGUCAAAAAACAAAAAAAAAAGUGUGAUGUUUGAGACAUGUUCAGGGGUGAAAGUAACUUACAGGACUUACUGGUUCUGCCAGAGUCCUGAGGGGGGCGUGACCUCAUCUGGAAGAGGCGUGGCCUCAAGCAGAAGAGGCGGGGCCUCUCAAGAUUUA